rnacentral:sRNA from 1 species
AAAGAUUUUUCAUAGUUCCACCUCUCGGAAAAAAAUAUAUUCAUUUCGGUGAAAUCUAAGUGUUGAGCUUGCUCUUCACAAGACUAGAUUUCAUCCCUCAAAAGUU